AUGGAUUCUAAGAAGGUGAUUACUGCUGCUAAUCAUCUAACAAAUGAUCUAGUGGUGGAAAUCCUCUCUCGGGUGCUGUUCAAGACUUUUUGCCGCAUUAAAUGUGUAUGCAAGGCAUGGCUCGCCUUCCCUUUUGAUCCUCACUACAACCGGAAGCUGCCAAAAAUUCCCACCGGUGUUUUGUGCAAAGGCCAUAACGGGUCUUCUAUCCAAGUUGUUAACAUGUCCCCAGACGACAAGAAAAUUGAUGGAACUCUUAGAUUCAUACCACAUCACGAGCAAUUACAAGUUGUGGAUUGUUCCAAUGGCCUAGUCCUUUGCCGCUACAAGAGCUUCUAUACUUUUGGAAAUACUUGUCGCUUCAUUGUGUGCAACCCAGCAACACAAGAGUGGAGAGCUCUUCCUGUUUCUAACACUAACAAUCACCCAUAUGUCUCAAAUUACUCCCGUUGUACAACUUUUCUCACCUUUGAUCCGUCGUGGUCGCCACAGUUCUACGUCUUCAACUUUCUGCAGAAUGCCAAAGGUCGGCCAAUGGGUAUAAGGAAACUUGAGGUGUUCUCUUCUGAACUUUUCACCUGGCUAGUGGAUGAUGCAUGGAGCUCGGAUCAUAGGCUACGGUUUAAGAACCCACACAGUUUUGUAGGUGGUGUGUUGCAUGUGCAGACCAACAAAACAAACGAGAUUCUUGUGGUUCAAGGCCUGGAGGCAAUGAGUUCUGCCGUGGUGCCUUGUCAUUACAUUAUCCGGCCUCCAGAAAACUGUUUGGGUGGUUGCUUUGGCCAAUCUUUGGGGGUCUUGCAGUGGGCAUGUCCAGAGGAGAGUGGCCACGUAAUUAAAAUUUUCCACCUUGAUGCUUAUCGCCCUUGCAAGUGGUCUCUUAAGCAUCGUCUUCGCAUACGGGAUGCAUUUGAAAGGGACGACUUUGUUCCCAUUGAAGAGUACCUACAGUGGUUAUGUGAUUUUGAGAUUGUUGCUCUUGACUUUGAAAGGGGUGUUAUCUUCCUCUUCGAGAAGUACGAAAAAAAGCUUUUGUGGUAUAACAUCAACACUGGGAAGCUUAAUGAGAUCAAAGAUGAUCGGUUCACCCAUGGAUGUGAGUACUAUUCUUAUGUGGCAUGCUACUCAAAGCUUCCGGCCUGA
rnacentral:rRNA from 1 species